GGAGCACUGGCUGAAAGGUAGUACCUUGGGCAGAGCAGUGCUGGGGAAGGGCAGGAGGACCUGGGGAGCUCCAGCCAAGGAAAACCCCAGGCUGAAGACCUUGCUACAAAGGGCCGAUCAAGUGAACAGAACCAAAGGGGAAGUGGCCGAGGGAUAAAGUCUGACAAGGGGAGAGAAUGAGGGCAGGGAGGCUGCUGCUAGAGGGACCCUGGGUUGUGACCCAGAAUAGUGGGUGGGCCUGGGUCCCCCACUUUUACUUCACCUGGCUGAGGAGGAGCAUGGCCUGUUACAGGCUGUGGCUGGCCCAUGUGACAAAGGGGCUAGACUUUGAGGCUGCAACCGGCCACUAGAAGAGGUGCAGACUGAGGGCUGCUGAUAACAUCAGACUCCCGGAAGGGGGUGAGACCAGAGCAGUGGACACUGCCGGAGGGCAGUGUCCUGAAGAGGAUGACGCUGAGCGGGGAGCAACAUGGGUCCAUAACCAACAGGGGAGCAGACGACGGAUGGGACACCACCGGCAGAGGGUGCCCCACAGAGGACAGAGCUAAUUCCCAAACGUGCCAGUGGGAGACGCUGCGGUGGAAAAACAUCAGUGGAGUCCUGGAGUCAAGGCCAUGGAAAUAGUGCAAAAUGAAAACCUGAGGUUUCCAAAUUCCAGUGUGGAUCACCACCCAAUUCUAUACCAAAUCCAUUAAAUCUCUUUAUGAAAAUUUAACUCUUUUUUGCAUAACAGCUGCUAUUUAACAAUGACAACCAGAAUGAAUGAUAUCUCACAGUCUGCCUUGCCGGCUGGAAGCUAACAAUGGCCAUGUCAUGAGUGUCGCAUCACUGAGUGAAGAAAGGAGCUGUAACUCACCCUACUGCAG